AGUUGCGUGAAGGUAGAGCACUGAAUAUGUGAUGGCCCCAUCUCGGGGUACUGAGCAUAAUCAAACUGCGAAUGUCACGCCAACAUGCUCGGCAGUCAGACAGCGGGUGAUAAGGUCCGUUGUCAAGAGGGAAACAGCCCAGACCAUCAGCUAAGGUCCCAAAAUGUAUGCUAAGUGGAAAAGGAUGUGGAGAUGUACAGACAACUAGGAGGUUGGCUCAGAAGCAGCCAUCCUUUAAAGAGUGCGUAACAGCUCACUAGUCGAAUGACUCUGCGCCGAUAAUUUACCGGGGCUAAGCAUACUACCGAAGCUAUGGAUCCCAAGGGAUGGUAGGGGAGCGUUCCAUGAACGGAGAAGUACGACCGAAAGGACGUGUGGAGAUCAUGGAAGAGAGAAUGCCGGUGUGAGUAGCGGAACGUGGGUGAGAAUCCCACGCACCGAAAACCCAAGGUUUCCAGAGGAAGGUUCGUCCGCUCUGGGUAAGUCGGGACCUAAGGCGAGGCCGAAAGGCGUAGUCGAUGGACAACAGGUAGAGAUUCCUGUACCCGUAUAUAUGUGAAGGAAUGACGGAGAGAGGAAGCUGCAGCCAGCGGCUGGAAGAGCUGGUGCAAGCGAGAUAUCGGGAUGGCAGGCAAAUCCACCAUCCGAAACGAGAAGGCGUGAAGCGUACGGAAAGCUACGGCGAGUACGGAAGGCAGUGGAGGAACUUCCAAGAAAAGUUUCUAACGUUAAGUAUAUAUGGCCCGUACCGAAAAUGGACACACAUGGGUGAGGAGAGAAUCCUAAGGUGAGCGAGAGAACUAUAGCUAAGGAACUCUGCAAAAUGACUCCGUAACUUAGGGAGAAGGAGUGCUCAUAGAGAUAUGAGCCGCAGUGAAACGGCCCAAGCGACUGUUUACCAAAAACACAGCUCUCUGCUAAGCCGCAAGGCGAAGUAUAGGGGGUGACGCCUGCCCGGUGCUGGAAGGUUAAGGGGAGGGGUUAACGCAAGUGAAGCCCUGAACUGAAGCCCCAGUAAACGGCGGCCGUAACUAUAACGGUCCUAAGGUAGCGAAAUUCCUUGUCAGGUAAGUUCUGACCCGCACGAAAGGCGUAACGAUUUGGGCGCUGUCUCAGCUGUAGACUCGGUGAAGUCUUAGUACCUGUGAAGAUGCAGGUUACCCGCGACUAGACGGAAAGACCCCAUGGAGCUUCACUGCAGGUUGAUAUUGGGAUUUGAUGCAGCAUGUACAGGAUAGGUAGGAGGCAAAGAGAUGGAUACGCCAGUAUUCAAGGAGCCGCUGUUGGGAUACUACCCCUGUUGUAUUGGAUUUCUAACCGGACGACGUAGAACCGUUGACGGGACAGUGUCAGUCGGGCAGUUUGACUGGGGCGGUCGCCUCCCAAAGAGUAACGGAGGCGCCCAAAGAUACCCUCAGCUUGGAUGGAAACCAAGCGCAGAGUGCAAAGGCAAAAGGGUGUUUGACUGCGAGACC
rnacentral:rRNA from 1 species